AAAAAAGGAAAAUUAUCUCAUGCUCUUGAUGCCUGUAGCUAUCCAAAAGUUUGACAGCUUCAGCUCAGUUAUGUUGUUUGUUCGUUUUUGUUGUUAUGUGGUGUUACCUAUCCUUUCUCACUGCCAAAGAUGUCUAGAGCAGAAAAGAUGCUCUAGAUUCCUGCUGUUAGGUCACAACACUUUAUUAUUUCUAGUUUGUUGUAUGUGUGAGGCUGAGGAUUAGGAACUAAGCAUUGCAAACUCAGAUCUUCCUGCUAUCUGUGCAUGCUAUUACAUAGGUACAACAUCCAGAUCAAGUUUGUUGUAUUUGAGCAGAGAUGUUAUCCUCAUGGGAAGGCUGAUAUUCUGUGUUUACACAACAGGUUAAAAGAUGAGGGGCAGAACACCCUUUGGAGAGGGACCUAGCUACACACAAGCAGUUGCCUCAAAUAAUGCCAUUGCUUAUGGUCACGGGUCACUUCCUUCCACGUCUGUAUGCCUGGCUCCUUUUUUAUCAGGUCUUGGCUAAUCCUGUGUGCCUGGCCCUGCCAGCCUCCUUCUGUCCUCCCAAGCUCAGGACAACCCUCGGUCGCUGCAGCAGCGUCUGAAACCGCUGUCUUGCUCUUCCCAAGGGAGUGAGCUGAGAUGCCACACUGAUUUCACAUCUAUUGCAAAACACUGGCUCUUGAGGGGAUCAGGAGUGCUCUGUCAUAUACUGCCUCUGACACUCAGUGCUAGAAUUGUGUGGCUGGUCAAGUAAGCAGCAGCUUCAUUUCUUACCAUGCUGGAUAAGCGAGGUUUUGUGGACAAGGUGAAAGUCCAUCCGGUGUGCUGGAGUUCUGCUUCCCUUAAUCUCCACUUUGAGCUUCAACCCCUCCAAUGAGAAGGGACAGGUGUCACCCAGGGGAAAGACACAGAGCCCCUUCCCACCCACCAUAAUGGGAAACCAUGCCGCUCCUGCUAAACUGAAUGCUGCUGCUCCUGAGGAUGAAGAUGAAGCCUACAGACAAGUCCUGAGCUGCCGUGGUGUGCCACGCUGAUCACUGUGCAGCAGCCUUCACUUCCCAACAAAGUUCCAAGAAAUACCUUUUGCUCGGAACAUAUUGAUUUGCAUUAAACAUAUUUCUUAAUUCUAGAAUAAAACUUCUGAACAACAAAAAGGCAUAAGAAAACAGUAUGCCCAAGAAAAAUACUUUGCAGUUCAGCUGUUCACAUAGAAAGAGUAGGCAGAUUCAAGUUCUCCUCCAUUUCAGAAAAGGCAGGGAUCAAAACUCACCCUUCCAUUCUCUGAAGAAGUGAGUUAACCACAGAUUACCCAAUGCUUAUUUUCUGUUUCUGCUUCUCUCUGUGUUUCAUGUUUGGUUUUGGUUUUUUUUUUCUUUUUUUUUUUUUUUUUUCCUCUGUUUUGUUUAUGUCACUAAUUUCUUCCCCACACAAAGGAAACAACCAGCUUCCAGAGGAAAAAGAAUACCUGCAGGAAGGCUUCAAGUGAUCUAAGAAACAUUAUGUUUGAAUCCUUAAAGACAACUCAGGAAAAAGUGAGAACAAUGGAAUACUUCGUUGAAUAUCCAGUGCAUGUGAUUAAACACCUUAAUAAUAUCUGAGGCCUACACCAAUGGCCUCACGGCCCUAGCACCAGCCUCAGUGGAGUGCCUUUUUUCUGCUGUAUUUGUGUGACAGAUAUGAAUGACAAGAAUGCCUGUGACCGCCUGCCUGCCACAGAGCUCUGGAAUAAGCUUCAGUACUCAGCAGUGGACGCAACCAAUUCAAAAUUAUGCCACAAUAGCUGCACCAAACAGCAAUUCCACAAAAAUAAGUAUUCUGCUCCUGAAAUGCCAAAUGCUUUACUAAAGAUUUGCAUCUUGAAAACCGUGAAGAGCUAUCUGUGAAAGCCCAUAGCAUACAUGAACAGCGUGCAGAAGAGCAUCAGAUAUACGCUCCAGAAAAAAUGGUGAAAUUGAAUUCUUUAAAAUGUGAAGCAAUUUUUUAUUUAGAUCCAAAUAGAGCAUUCUAUCUAUUCACGUAUAACUUGGAAAUAUCUUUUUCUUCUCCUCCUUCUUUAUUUAAAAAAACAUGUUUGCACCUAGAAGAAGCAAGAGAGUGCAGCGUUUGUGGUAGUUUUGCAGGGAGCUGUAGAAGAGACAAAGACUCUUAACACUCAAACUCCACUGAAAAAAAUGUCAGAGGCAUGAUUUUGUGCCAAGGAGAUGAGAGAGAGAAUUUUUAAUAUUCUUGAAUUGGAUUGAGCUCCUCAAAUUUGAUCUGAGUUUUGCAGUGUUGGCAAGAAUGAGUCUAUGCCCAU